GACGAACGCUGGCGGCGUGCCUAAUACAUGCAAGUAGAACGCUGAAGGAGGAGCUUGCUUCUCCGGAUGAGUUGCGAACGGGUGAGUAACGCGUAGGUAACCUGCCUGGUAGCGGGGGAUAACUAUUGGAAACGAUAGCUAAUACCGCAUAACAGUAGAUAUUGCAUGAUAUCUGCUUGAAAGGUGCAAUUGCAUCACUACCAGAUGGACCUGCGUUGUAUUAGCUAGUUGGUGAGGUAACGGCUCACCAAGGCGACGAUACAUAGCCGACCUGGGAGGGUGGUAGGCCACCCUGGGACGGGGACACGGCCCAGAGUCCUACGGGAGGGGGCAGUAGGGAAUCGUCGGCAAUGGACGGAAGUCUGACCGAGCAAGGCCGAGUGAGUGAAGAAGGUGUUCGGAUCGUAAAGCUCUGUUGUAAGAGAAGAACGAGUGUGAGAGUGGAAAGUGCACACUGUGACGGUAUCUUACCAGAAAGGGACGGCUAACUACGUG
rnacentral:rRNA from 1 species